UCAAACUUGGUCAUUUAGAGGAAGUAAAAGUCGUAACAAGGUUUCCGUAGGUGAACCUGCGGAAGGAUCAUUACUAAUUAUCCACUCUAUUAUGGAUAAUUUAUCCAUAUCCACCUUGUGUGAAUUAUUGAAGUGUUGUUGGCAGGUCAAGGCAUCUCUCUUAAAAGAGCCUGUGGGUUUUGGCACUCGUGCUUGUGCUCGCCCUGCCAAUUUUAUUCCUUUAAACUUGUCUAAAUAUUACUAGUCUGAAAACACAUAUUUAUAUAAUAAAUACAACUUUCAACAACGGAUCUCUUGGCUCUCGCAUCGAUGAAGAACGCAGC
rnacentral:misc_RNA from 1 species